rnacentral:rRNA from 1 species
CCUACGGGAGGCAGCAGUAGGGCAUCUUUCACAAUGGGCGAAAGCCUGAUGGAGCAACGCCGCGUGCAGGAUGAAGGCCUUCGGGUUGUAAACUGCUUUUAUAAGCGAGAAAUAUGAUGGUAACUUAUGAAUAAGGAUCGGCUAACUACGUGCCAGCAGCCGCGGUCAUACGUAGGAUCCGAGCAUUAUCCGGGGUGACUGGGUGUAAAGAGUUGCGUAGGUGGCAUAAUAAGUAGCUAGUGAAAUCUGGUGGCUCAAACAUUCAGACUAUUAGCUAAACUGUUAAGCUCGAGACCGUUAGGGGUAACUGGAAUUUCUAGUGUAGGAGUGAAAUCCGUAGAUAUUAGAAGGAACACCAAUAGCGUAGGCAGGUUGCUGGGACGGUUCUGACACUAAGGCACGAAAGCGUAGGGAGCAAACGGGAUUAGAUACCCUUGUAGUC